CUUCAACAAUUUAUGAAGCUCGCAUGCAUUUUAUGCACGUGCACACUUGCCAUCUUUAGCCAACUACGUGGCAAGGUUUCUUUGAUUCUGUCGAAGUCUAAGAAGCAUGAAGUUGGCAUGACUGGGAUAACCUUGGAGAUUAUUGAUGAUAUACACUGCCAUGUACUUUGUUAAUUGUUUUGUCCUUUUGGGAACUGUGUCUUUGUGUGUGUGUGUGUAUUUUUUCUUAAAAAGGUUGGUGUUGUGUGAUUUUUCAUUACCAAAAUGAUAUAAUUAUAUUAGUUCACUUAGUAAAAUACAAAUAGAGAGAAGUAAAUUUAUAACUUCAAAUUUACUUAUAGUUUAGGAUUUCCUCGACUUGAAUUCUCAAUUACAUUAUCUCUACUAUAUAAAAGAAACAGACUCCUAAGCUAUGACACAUCAACUAAAAUAUUUACAUCCAAUGAAAGUGCCACAUCACCAAAAUUUACAUAUCAUCAUCUAAUCCCAUGAAAUUUGUAUCAUUUCUCUUCUCUAACGUUCCACCUCCUAAAGGCAACCCAACAAUCCUAAAGGCAACCGUUCAGCAGCUCCGGCGUAACAACCACUUCGACUCUUGAAAGCCUUAUUUAAUACUAAAACAUUUCAAUGGCAGACACCUCUUCGAUUUCCUCAGCUCCAUCAUAUAUAUAUUCUUCGGGGUUUCCAAAACAAAGUUAUUAGCAUACCAUCAAAAUAAGAUGGUGUUCCAGAAAAAAAAAAUAUAUAUAUAUAGUAUAAUAAAAUCAAAGUUAUUAGCAUACCAUCAAAGUAAGAUGGUGUUCCAAAAACAUAAUAAUAAUAGAAAGAUUAAAUAUAUGACACAUGUACCACUAUUAGAAUUUGACUUACGAGUAAAAAAAUGUGAAUUUUGAACACGAGUGAGCUGCUCAAAUUGAAAGAUUAAAUAUAUGACACAUGUACCACAACUAUAUAACACCAAAAAAGUAUAAGAUAUCCUUCCUCUGCUCCAUUUAUAUACAAAAAUUAUGUAAGAGAAAAUAUAGUGUACGUUAUAAAUCAUUGAUUAUGUACACAAAAGAUUAUAAACUCAUUCUCCCUCCGUGAAUACUAAGCUCAAAAUUCAAAUAUUAAAACAUUACUUGAAAAUAAAUCUAAAAGUAGUAUUUAACUAAUAAUAUUUUAAACAAUAUCUCAAAAUAAGCUAACAAAGAAAUAAAAAGAAAAAUAUCUAAAAAUUAAGAUAUAAAUACUAAUUUAUCAAAAAUAGCUUCAAAAGACUCCAACAAAACAACAAAACAAUGUUAACAAGUUUUAUUAUACGGUGGAUUACAUGAGAAUCAAAUCUCCCAAACUAAAUAGAAAUGUUUUAAAAAUAACAAAUAAGAACAUUCAAUAAGAAAUUUAACUUGAUAUGGAAGCUUUUUGAAAAAGCAACAUGAAAAUGUUUAACUAACAGUUUUUUUUUUAAAACAUGUCUUAAAAAAUGUACAACUUUCAAAUAGCCAUAUUUAUAAAAAAAAAAAAACAGUAUAAAACAAACUAGAAAAGGAAAAUACUAUCUUAAAUUAGUU